rnacentral:rRNA from 1 species
GACAGAGGGGGCAAGCGUUGCUCGGAAUUACUGGGCGUAAAGGGCGCGUAGGCGGGAUGGCAAGUCGGUCGUGAAAUCCCUGGGCUCAACUCAGGGGGGUCGGCCGAUACUGCCGUUCUUGAGGGAUGCAGAGGAGACUGGAAUUCCCGGUGUAGCGGUGAAAUGCGCAGAUAUCAGGAGGAACACCGAUGGCGAAGGCAGGUCUCUGGGCCACUACUGACGCUGAGAAGCGAAAGCGUGGGGAGCGAACAGG